UUAAUUUAACGGCCGCGGUAUCCUAACCGUGCGAAGGUAGCGUAAUCAUUUGUUCUUUAAAUGAGGACUAGUAUGAAUGGCAUCACGAAGGUUAUACUGUCUCCCCUUUUUAAUCAGUGAAACUAAUCUUCCCGUGAAGAAGCGGGGAUAAAAUUAUAAGACGAGAAGACCCUAUGGAGCUUUAGACGACGCAACAAUUGUUAUUCACUUUUUACCCUAUGGGGCCCCAACUAUAUUUUCUCAUAUUGAUUGCUAGUCUUGGGUUGGGGUGACCGCGGAGUAAAAUAUAACCUCCACGAUGAAAGAAACUUAAUUUCUUAACCCAGAGUUACAACUCUAAGUACCAAAAAUUUGACAUGUAUUGAUCCAAUUUAUUGAUCAACGAACCAAGUUACCCUAGGGAUAACAGCGCAAUCUACUUCAAGAGUCCCUAUCGACAAGUAGGUUUACGACCUCGAUGUUGGAUCAGGGUAUCCUAGUGGUGCAGCCGCUACUAAAGGUUCGUUUGUUCAACGAUUAAAACCCUACGUGAUCUGA
rnacentral:rRNA from 1 species